AGCCAACGCCUAUUGUAUAGCUACACUCGAAGAUGUCUUUUUCUGUCUGUGAAAACAUUUGCACAAACAAAAGUUAAUUCUUACCUGCCAAAUUACCUGCAAAUUUCAACAGAGAACAUGAAUAAUAACAGCUGAAAAUAGUCGAACAGAGUUUUCCUUACAAACUGCCAACAAGCUGAUGAGCUUGUUGCCAAUUCUAAUUUGGCCCCUAAUCCUUAUUUAAAAAAAUUAUUGUGUAAUUAAUAAAUUAAAUUUAUUUGUAACUAACGUGAACUUAGGCAGGAACAUCAGUAAAUUGUCUGUAGAGGUCUCAACCAGUACAGUAGAACCCAGCCCGACGCUAAUAUAGCUCAAUUUUUCUCAUUCUGAACAAUUUUGAAAAUUUAAAUUAAAUUCUCGGCAAAGCAUAAAAAAUUCAAUUUUAAAACUUAAACCCAUGCGGCGUCCGUUUAAGCUCCAGUGUGCCACAGUUGGGGCUGGUCAGCAUCCACAUCGUGCAACAGUUGUUGUUGUUGGCUUUGUCGCAAAAAGCAAAUUGCCAGACAGCAGCAGCUAAAAAGAUGCAAAAAGUGAGAGAAAACGUUUUGCAGGGCGCCGGCGAUAAGGAAUUUAAUUUUAUGCGCACUGGCGCCUCUGGCCAACUAAACACAGUUGCAGAUACAGAUUCAGUUGCAGUGGCAGUUGCAGUUGCAGUU